rnacentral:lncRNA from 1 species
AAGACUUUGAUGUUGAAAUCCUGAUCCACAUCGAUGGGUUGAUCUGGAAAGGGUGUGAUUAGGUGUGGUGUGAGCUGUGGAGCAGGAAAACCUGCCAAUCCCUGAUGUUUGACAGGUGGGGUAUUUAAGUCAAACUGAUCGGGGCAGGAGUUACAGUUCUCUUCUGGUCUCCAACAUGAAGCUGAUCCUCUCUCUGACUUUCCUCUGGGUGCUCGGCAGCACAGAGGCAGAACUCAGCUGUCUGACCUGCGUGAAUCAGCAGUGUUCAAAUGCUGUAUCUCGAACAUGCAACAUGGGCGAGCUAUGCGUUUCUGCUGCUUCUGAAGUCUCUGGACUUGGAACCAACCUGCAGCAAAUCAUCAAGUCCUGUGCACCAUCGGAGCUGUGUGCAGCCACCGGGACACAGGCGUUUUCAGUCAACCUGGGUUUUCUCAGUGUACUCGCUAAUGUUUCAUGCUGCGACUCCAACAACUGCAACUCGCAAAAUCAAACUUUCCUAGGUGCUCAGAUGAACAACAGCCUCGAGUGUUACUCCUGUAACUCAACCACUGACACUGUAUGCAGAACUAAACUACAGUGUAGAGGAGUGGAGAACCGCUGCUUUAACACCAGAGUGACUAUCAGCAACAACACAUCUUCAUUUUUGGGCUGUGCAUCUCAAAAUGCAUGUUCAGCUGCUGAUUCAGCCGGAGACAUCCUGGCAAUGCAAACGCUCGUCAACAUCUCCACUGCAACAACAUGCUGUUCAACAGAUUUAUGUAACUCCGUCACAACAAUAUCUGGAAGCAUUGGCAUCAUCCCUCUGCUGCUUGGACUCCUCAUCUUCAGCUUCUAUUAGAACAUGGAGAAAAUUGGAUCACGCACCUUUGAAGCCACCAGGAUUCCAAAGAACCUCCUGAAACCUAGAUUUACUUGGAAGUUAAGGAGGACAGGAAAUCCAAAUUUAGGGGAAAGAGGAAUCAGGGUGAAGCUGAGGUAUUAGAGAGAAAAAAAAAACAGAUGAAGGAGAUACAAACAACUUUAAGAAACUUUAUAUAAAAAUAAUUAACUAACUUGGUACAAACUGGUUGGAUAUCAGCAUAUUUAAGUGAUCGCCGUUAUUUCAAAGUCAUGGUUUCUUAGUCAGUGGUGGAGGAUUGGGUUUGCCUUUGGGGCCUCUUGUUCUUUCUCUACUUCAAUCAUUUGCUUCAUUGAAAUCAACACGUUUGCUGAUUAAUCUCAAUAUGGCUCUGAUUUUUAACAUGUUUGCUUUACAUGGUUCUGAAAUAUAAACAAAUCUUGAUGUGAUCAUUUUGAAAGAAGCUCCCAAACAAAUCCAAUAAAUCAAUAAAACUGUGAACUUGGUGAGUCUUUGCUGAUCAUUUGAACGCUGUUAAUUAUCUUAUAGUUAUGCAGUAAUGUGAUGGAAAUAGCCAUUAAUCAAGAGCACAAUGACAAGUUAUUAUUAAAGUGCUGCAGAAUGUAAAAAGGGUUGGUAAGUUAUUGUAACUACAACGGGCACGUACAGCCAGUCUUUUUCAUAUGAGCACCCAUGAAUAUUAACGGCAUUAAUAACCCUUAUUGAGUUGUGAAGGCAAUUAAUAACAAGUACAAGUGAUGAGCAGCAAAAACGAUGAUUAAUCACAUGAUGAUGCCUUUUUAUUUUGAAAUACAAUGAACUAAACAGAAUCACAAAUGAUUGAAAAGGGGAACCAAAAAUAUCUGCAUACUUGAAAAUGAAGGUUAGUUCCCAAUGAACCAAACAAGUUCCUCGUUCUUCGCUGAUGACGGUGACGAACAAGGAAGUUGUUUGGAACAACAGAGUUUCAGUAUUACAGUUUCACAGCAAUAAGCAUUUACAGUCAUGAAAUAUGAAUAACAGAAUGUUAAGGUGAAUGCAUCAAAACUUGACAAAUUAAUAACCUUCAGACAUUUCUAAAUACUUUCACAGAAAUAAAAGGUUUAAAAGAAGCUCCUGGUGUCACAUGUGUGGUCUAAUGUUGUAUGAGAGCCCAAAUUCAAAGAAUAGCUGCCAUUGUU